CGAGGAGCCGCAUAAGCUGACAGAACAAAGCCCACGAGCGCAAAGGGCCAUAAGCCGGGCCUUUUCCUGAAAGCCAGACUUUUACAUGGUUGUUGUGAGGAUUAAAGAUCGCGUCUGUUCUGCCACCCGGUCACUCGCUCUGUGAGGGAAGUCCGCCGUCAUGUUGAGCAGUCCUAUGGAGAGGCCAUGGAGUGAGAAACUGAGGCCUCGUGUCAGCAGCUAUCUGAGUGAGCCAUCUUAGAAGUGGACCCUCCAGCCCCGGUCAAGCUUUCAGAUGACUGCAGCCCUUGCCAACAUCUUGACUACCACCUCAUGAGACACCUGGGGCCAUAAACAUCCAAUGAAGCCGCUCUCAAAUUCCUGAGGCACAGAAUCUGUGUGAUAACAUGCUUACGUUAAGCCACAAAAUUUGGAGUAAUUUGUUCCUCCAAUCGAUAUCUAACACAAUAGGCUGGAUUACGCUUAUAUAAGAAAGAGACAAAGAGACAUAGAAAGAAAGACCUGAAAAUGAGGAGGAGUUAAGAGGAGGAAGAAUAGAAAGAGCAUACAGUGAAGAUAAAUCCAAAGUAUUCAGUCUUUUCGAGAGAGACAGGAUGAGCUUAGGGCAACGGAUAUAAAAAUUGGACUUUGGGGACAGAGAGAUGUUAAAAGAUAUACUUAGGGAACUUUGAUGUGCCAUGUGACAUAAAUCUCUCUCUUGUGUACCUGAAAAUAUUUAAGUAAAGCUCUCUAUAUUUUUAAAAUAAUAAAUAAUAAUAAUCUAACACUGCCCAGUGACUUAAUGUGUCCCCAGUCUCAUCACCCAUUUAUCUAAGUCAAGACCCUAGUAGUUUUAUCCUCUUUUACUAGAUACUCAAUUUCCCAGUGUUUCUUAUAGCAAGGGGUGGUCACAGGCAAAGUUCUGGCCAUUAGUUGAGAACACUUAUUAAGCACUUAAAAGAAUGCCUUGCCCAUAUUAUACAAUAAACAUAAAUUCUCAUUUUUUUUAAGAGUUUAAAUAGUAAAAACUUAGUAUUCAAAAUCUUCAACAACAGGAUCCUCACAAAAUGUGGCCUGUCCACUCCUGAUUUAGGGCCUACAGAUAAUCUGUAAUCAUUAGCUCUUGGGCAGAUGUGGAAUAAAUUUGGUUUUUAACUCUUCAGGGAAGAGAUUUUCAAACAUACAAAAGCAGAGAGAUUCUUAUACUGAAUCUCCAUCUAUGCGUCACCCAAUGUCAGCAACUAGCAAUGUGUUUUCUAUCUUGUUUAAUCUGUCACUUUCCCUAUAAAUAUUGGGUGACUUUUUUGAAGUCAUUGAUAAGUCAUGUUAAUUUCACACACACAAAAAUUAAAUAUGUGUAUAUAUCUCCAGAGCUAGUUGAUUUUAAAAAGACUUUCCUGUAUUUAUUCUGAAUGUAAGACCUGCGACUGAGGUCCUAUUAACUGCAGUUGAAAAAGUAUGGGUUUCGGAGCUGUCUAUAGAUUGGGUUAAAAUUCCAGUUACACCACUUUCUAGCUAUGUGAUCAGGAGCAAAUUACUUACUUUCUGUGAGCCCCAGUUUUUUUCACCUGCAAAUAGGAGCCAAUCAGCAGUCAGGACCGACUCUCCAGAGCCCUUGUGAGAAAUAAAUAGCAGAACAAUGGUGAGUAAUAGCUGUAAUUUGCUAAACAAGCCAGGCACUGCCCUAAGCACUUUUGCUUUUGUAUCUUUAGUCCUUGGCACUUGGCUCAGCAAAUGUUCCCUUUCAGCCUCAGAAGCAGGUUUUACAGCAUUGAAGAUGACAGAGUGGUGGUGUGGGCUGUGGAAGGCUGGGGAGAGAAAGGAGUCCUCCACAAAAGGGGGUCUGGUGGUGGCUGGAGAAAGCCUUUUCAGAUUUAGAAAGGAGUGCUGGUGAUGGCAGCAGGGAGGGUGAGGGGUGGAGAGGAGAGGAAGGAAUGAGGUUAAAAGGAAGCGUGGAGUCAGGAACCUAUCUUGUGGCCCUCCUGAGCGCUCUGCACACUGGCUCUGCUGACUUCACACAGCCCCUCCCAGCAGUUAUCACUCUGCACUUAACCUUGGGGCCCAGUAGCUGGUCCAAACUCAGGCCUAGGAAAGGGCCCAGAUUCCAACCACAUCAGUCUCAAGAUUCUUCCUUCAUUCCACAGGGCCAUGUUAUGCCCUUUUUAAGAGAUCUGAGUGACAGUUAUGUUUUACAAAACUGGCAUCUGGUAUGACAUGUUAGACAUGGUUUUGAGAAUGGAGGCUAUCAGGAGGGUGGGGUGGGGAAGCAGACAGGUGACCCGAGGUUGGCCCCAGAAAGACCACAGCCCCCAUUACCCAGGAAGCCGGUUCCCGACACCUCCUAGGCUCCUGAGGUUCCCAUUACUGUUUGACGGACCUGCAGAUGACAUUUGGUCUGCAAAUCAGGGCUAGCUCCAUGGGCCCGUCAGUGGUCCUGACCACCUCCGUGGGUACGAGGGCUGCCUGACCUUGGGAACCCAACCACUUAUUGCUCAGAUCAGCAAUAAACUGGGAACGGAUUCUAAGCGUGAGGAAGGGAUGAUUCUAAAAUCAAUCUUUAUUAGACGGGCCUUCCUUUUUUUCUAUUUCUCUGUGUAGAGGGCUUUGUGUCUAAACAGGGCUUUAAAUGUACACGAGGAGUUCUAACAAUAUUGCUCAAAUGGGGAUCUGUGGACUCAUAAGACUCAAGUGAGGAAUGAGUUAAAAAUGCAUAUUCCCAGGCACUGCCACCAAAAUUCUGAUUCAGAUGGUCUGGGGUAGGGAUCAAGAAUCAGCUUUUUAGGGCCGGCCGAGUGGCGCGAUGGUUAAGAACUCGCUUGGGAUGCCA